GCUGUUGCUUCAGGGCUUCCUGAGGCAGAGUUUGUAUCUGGGUCACUGUGUUCAAUAACCACUGGUAGACUAAUCCUUUCUCAACUUGUCAAAAUUUUCUUACUCUCGAGCUUAUUCUUUGCAAAUGAACAAAUGUGGGACUUCCGGUUUUGUUUAUAGGAGAGGUGCUUCUAUUCCUACAGGAAUCCCAAAGCAUUCAAGCCUUUUCAAGCUGCAGGAUGAAUGUGGUGUGCAAACACCAUAGCUGCUGUGGCCAGCUUCUCUGGGAGAGUUAAGAGUAUGUUCCUGCUGUUCAAACUGCUAAACCAAGAAGCUGCAAAUGAGAUUACAUGCUGACCAGGUCAUGCUGGAACAAGUACAACAGGAGAACCAGUGCCUGAAUCAGCAAGUUGCCCAUCUGACGGCUGCAUUUAUGGCACUGCAGAAAAUGAUUUCUUUUGUAGGCUGAGCAGUACUUGGAGGAGGAGCUGGCCAGUGCUUCGUGCAGAAGAUCAUUGCUUUGCUCACUGUUUACUGAUGCGCGCCUCACCUCUGUGAGCUGACCUUACCCC
rnacentral:lncRNA from 1 species